CUUGUUAUGGACCCAUGUCCUGGUUCUUCUUCUUAAGGGAAUUAUUUUGGCUGCCCUAGCUGACUGCAUGCAAAGUCAGGGAUUCAUCUCUGUAGUUAUCUAUGGAGUGGCAAGUAUAUGAUAUGUAUCCCAGAAGCGAGUUUGCAGACUGCCUGGAAGUACUGAAAGAGCAACACCUCAUCUUGCAUGGAGCAGGAUCCGAGCCUUUACCGAAUGCUGAGGAAUAAGAAAGCAGAGUCCUCUGUUUGUCACAGGUGCUGCAAUGGAGACAUGCCUUAGAACGGCUGUUUCUGACCAUUUUUUUUGUGCUUUUGGAUGAGUACUCCAGGAAAAUACACUGCUCUGCUUUCUGUCAGAGAUCUCAGAUGAACAAAUUUAAACAGAUGGUAUGGAUAUUGCACAGUUUAAAUAUUAGCUGUAUGUUACAAAUGACGAAGAAAGGACUAUACAAAAGGAUAAGAAGAUAAAGCCUAUAGAUUGUUCAAAAACAUGAAUUAUGUAUGCCAUGCAGAUAAAUUCCUUGUCAUUGUCAGGUUCAAAAUUUUAUCUGUUGUUUUACAAUUAGAUCUACCCAGGAAAAAAUGUGUUCAGUGCUAUCCUAGUUGUAACUAUGAAAGACUUGAUGGUUUGAUCACAAAGUA